rnacentral:rRNA from 1 species
CCUACGGGAGGCAGCAGUGGGGGAUAUUGCACAAUGGAGGAAACUCUGAUGCAGCAACGCCGCGUGAGGGAAGAAGGUUUUCGGAUUGUAAACCUCUGUCCUCGGUGACGAUAAUGACGGUAGCCGAGGAGGAAGCUCCGGCUAACUACGUGCCAGCAGCCGCGGUAAU